GGGGGACAAGAUUGAAACUCCAGAGCAGUUUAAACAAGCUGAAGAAACAGUGCAGAAGCUAGACUUGGACGGCCUUGUUGUUAUUGGUGGAGAUGACUCGAACACAAAUGCAUGCCUCCUUGCUAAGCAUUUCAGGUUUCUCUGAAGGGAAUUUUAAUUUUGGCAUGAUCUGCAUCCAGGAACAGGGACCCCCUCCCCCUCCCAAUUUUCUAUUUUUUCUGAAGUCAUGUAUGUAGUAGGCUUUAGCAUUCAGGUCCAUUAUUUUGACUUUUAGUUGAUGCAAUUAAGCAUGUUUGGGUCUUCAACCCUGUUAGAUUUAUUUUUUCUGGA